AGUGAACGCUGGCGGUAAGCCUAACACAUGCAAGUCGAACGGCAGCACAGUAAGAGCUUGCUCUUACGGGUGGCGAGUGGCGGACGGGUGAGGAAUACAUCGGAAUCUACUUUUUCGUGGGGGAUAACGUAGGGAAACUUACGCUAAUACCGCAUACGACCUACGGGUGAAAGCAGGGGAUCUUCGGACCUUGCGCGAUUGAAUGAGCCGAUGUCGGAUUAGCUAGUUGGCGGGGUAAAGGCCCACCAAGGCGACGAUCCGUAGCUGGUCUGAGAGGAUGAUCAGCCACACUGGAACUGAGACACGGUCCAGACUCCUACGGGAGGCAGCAGUGGGGAAUAUUGGACAAUGGGCGCAAGCCUGAACCAGCCAUACCGCGUGGGUGAAGAAGGCCUUCGGGUUGUAAAGCCCUUUUGUUGGGAAAGAAAAGCAGCAGGUUAAUACCCCGCUGUUCUGACGGUACCCAAAGAAUAAGCACCGGCUAACUUCGUG
rnacentral:rRNA from 1 species